CUCUGACAAGGACUCCCACGUCCCUCCCCGGCUAACCUGGAUCCUGCUCAACCCAACACCUGCCUUCUCUCGGUCCCUGGGUUCCCGCAGGCCUUGGGGCCCCACAGUCAUAUCUGCUGUUCCUGCAGCUCGGCACAGUCACAGCAACUCUCCAAAUCAUGACGCUCAAAAUGCCACAUCUAAAAAGAACAUCCGGGCUCUGCCCCUAAGAAAGAAUUCAUGCACCUACAAAGAGGAAGGAACGGCACAGCCAUCCACCUUUCAACUCCUGAGUUUCCAUCUGCACCCUUCAACACUUAUUAGGACUUACAUGAAACUAUGUGACAUCUUUUUAUUUCUAUUAAACAAAAUACAGCUU
rnacentral:lncRNA from 1 species